rnacentral:rRNA from 1 species
AACGAACGCUGGCGGCAUGCCUAACACAUGCAAGUCGAGCGAGCCCUCCGGGUGUAUUGGCGCCCGACGGCGUAGCGCGUCGGAACAGGCCCUCAUGUUCGGCAUAACUACCCGAAAGGGGUUCUAAUACCGGAUAAUAUCUUCGAACCAAAGAUUUAUUGCCUUAGGAUGGGCCCGCGUUGGAUUAGCUAGUUGGUAGGGUAAAAGCCUACCAAGGCGACGAUCCAUAGCUGGUCUGAGAGGAUGAUCAGCCACACUGGGACUGAGACACGGCCCAGACUCCUACGUGAGGCAGCAGUGGGGAAUAGUGGACAAUGGGCGAAAGCCUGAUCCAGCAAUGCCGCGUGAGUGAUGAAGGCCUUAGGGUUGUAAAGCUCUUUUACCCGGGAUGAUAAUGACGGUACCGGGAGAAUAAGCCCCGGCUAACUCCGUG